rnacentral:sRNA from 1 species
CUCCAGAUUCUUCGUAUUCCGUUCCGUUCCGUUGGAAGUAUCUAC